rnacentral:rRNA from 1 species
UACGGGAGGCAGCAGUGGGGAAUAUUGCACAAUGGGCGAAAGCCUGAUGCAGCUAUGCCGCGUGUAUGAAGAAGGCCUUAGGGUUGUAAAGUACUUUCAUCGGGGAGGAAAAACAAAACUAAUAAUUUUAUUUCUUGACGUUACCCGAAAAAGAAGCACCGGCUAACUCCGUGCCAGCAGCCGCGGUAAUACGGAGGGUGCUAGCGUUAAUCAGAAUUACUGGGCGUAAAGAGCACGUAGGUGGUUUUUUUAAGUCAGAUGUGAAUCCCUGGGCUUAACCUAGGAACUGCAUUUUGAAACUGAAAUACUAGAGUAUCGUAGAGGGAGGUAGAAUUCUAGGUGUAGCGGUGAAAUGCGUAGAUAUCUGGAGGAAUACCUGUGGCGAAAGCGGCCUCCUAAACGAAUACUGACACUGAGGUGCGAAAGCGUGGGGAGCAAACAGGGUUAGAUACC